rnacentral:rRNA from 1 species
AUACGGAGGACGCGAGCGUUAUCCGGAUUCAUUGGGUUUAAAGGGUGCGCAGGCGGCCGUGCAAGUCAGCGGUGAAAGCCCGGGGCUCAACCCCGGAAGUGCCGUUGAUACUGCAUGGCUGGAAUGCGGUCGAGGCGGGCGGGACGUGGCGUGUAACGGUGAAAUGUGUAGAUAUGCCACAGAACGCCGAUAGCGGAGGCAGCUCGCCAGGCCUGCAUUGACGCUCGGGCACGAAAGCGUGGGGAUCGAACAGGAUUAGAUCCCCUGGUAGUCCACGCCGUAAACGAUGGGCGCUCGUCGUCGGCGGCAGACAGUCGGCGGCCAAGCGAAAGCGAUAAGCGCCCCACCUGGGGAGUACGGUCGCAAGGCUGAAACUCAAAUGAAUUGACGGGG